rnacentral:rRNA from 1 species
AUUGAACGCUGGCGGCAGGCCUAACACAUGCAAGUCGAGCGGCAGCGGGAAAGUAGCUUGCUACUUUUGCCGGCGAGCGGCGGACGGGUGAGUAAUGCCUGGGAAAUUGCCCAGUCGCGGGGGAUAACAGUUGGAAACGACUGCUAAUACCGCAUACGCCCUACGGGGGACAGCAGGGGACCUUCGGGCCUUGCGCGAUUGGAUAUGCCCCGGUGGGAUUAGCUAGUUGGUGAGGUAAUGGCUCACCAAGGAGACGAUCCCUAGCUGGUCUGAGAGGAUGAUCAGCCACACUGGAACUGAGACACGGUCCAGCCUCCUACGGGAGGCAGCAGUGGGGAAUAUUGCACAAUGGGGGAAACCCUGAUGCAGCCAUGCCGCGUGUGUGAAGAAGGCCUUCGGGUUGUAAAGCACUUUCAGCGAGGAGGAAAGGUUGGUGCCUAAUACGUAUCAACUGUGACGUUACUCGCAGAAGAAGCACCGGCUAACUCCGUACCAGCCGCCGCCGUAAAAC